GACGAACGCUGGCGGCGUGCUUAACACAUGCAAGUCGAGCGGUAAGGCCCUUUCGGGGGUACGACGAGCGGCGAACGGGUGAGUAACACGUGGGUGACCUGCCCUCAGCUCUGGGAGUAAGCCUGGGAAACCGGGGUACUAUACUGGAUAUGACUCCAUGACGCAUGUUGUGGGGUGGAAAGCCUUGUGCGGCUGAGGAUGGGCCCGCGGCCUAUCAGCUUGUUGGUGGGGU
rnacentral:rRNA from 1 species